GACACCCAGGGAGAAUGUCGAUCCUACAACGAGGGCAACUGACCCUGUUUGUGUUCAGAGGCAGUAGAGCAAAAGCAACAGAAAUGGGGAUCCACGCACGAGUCAACAGCAUCACCUGCUGUCCAUCAGAGGCCACUGCGUCCAUCCAGGUCCAGGUUCACACAGACUCGGUGGUGCUGAGCUGUUAAUAAGAAGCAGAGGAGAAGAUGAGAUGAAGAUGUGCAGACUUUAGUCUCCACUCUGCUGGGGAACUGGCAGGCGCUGCAUGUGCUGAGGAUCUGGCACAGAACACGGUGACCAGGUUUUGGACUCCACAAGGACUUCUGGUCUUCUGGUCCCGAAAAACUCCUAAAAAG